CUGCUGGUGUCAUAUCAUUAACCCUCACUACACUUUGUUUCCCUCCAAUAAAGGAAAAGAAAAAAAGCAGAAUCGUACAUACACAUUCAUUUUUGGGAAUUCUCAUUUCCUGUCAAUCACUUUCCUCUCUCAAAAAUCCUUUGAAAUCUUGACCAGUCAUGUCGUCUCCUUCACAAACCCUAGCUCUAGUAGUUACAGAAGAAAGAGAAGCAGCUGAUACUCAGCUCUCAUCUCUCGUCUAUGAUGUCUCACAACAAGUGCAAGCAGCAAUGGAGAACAUGCUUAAGAUGACUAAUGAAAUAGAUCAAAGCUCAAGUGGAAUAAUGGAAGAAAUUGAAAAGUGCAAGGAGUCUGCAACUGAGAAGAAGAAAAUGUUAGACGAAGAAAAAGAACGUUUCCAGAAAGCUGCUUACAUGGCUUUAGAUAUGCUCAACAACACUAAUUCUGUCGUAGCUUAAGAAAAUAGACUUCAGUCAUCUAAAGGGUAUGCAGUUCAGACGUUAUUCUGUUGCACAGUCAGAAGACGGAGUAGGGAAAUUUGUCAGCAAUCAAUUGUAAAGUUUUUUUAAAACCAAGGUGGGUUAGAGAUUCCUGAUCCUCACCACAAAGAUUGCAUUUUGUAUCAAUAUCUGGGAGUGAUGGCUGCGAUACGCAUACUGUUUGGUAGUGUGGCAUGAGGUGCUUUCCAAGUGAAAUGUUUAACAGAUGGAGUGUUCAUGUUCUAGAUUUCUAUUCAGUUUUCAUUUAUGUUUCCUCUAGAGAUAAUGUGAUUGUAUAUGACUUUUACUGAGAAUAUCCCUUUUUCGUUGAACAUCCAGUGGGCUGUGUCCUCUCUGUUUUCAGAAGAUAUGUUUAGCUUCUUAGCUUUUUCAAUUGUCUGGUUAUCAAACAUUUUGUAAGCUUCUCCAUGUCCCAAGUGUUGUUUGUAAUCAGUUGCUUGACUUUUGUUAAACCUUCAGUAUCAUUAGU